GGCCUCGUAGCUCAGUUGGCUAGAGCGUUGGUUGUACUGAAGUCUUUCUCUUGUUGGCGUGGGUUCAGAUCCCACCGACACCG
rnacentral:tRNA from 1 species